GACGAACGCUGGCGGCGUGCUUAACACAUGCAAGUCGAACGGAAAGGCCCUGCUUUUGUGUGGUGCUCGAGUGGCGAACGGGUGAGUAACACGUGAGUAACCUGCCCUUGACUUUGGGAUAACUUCAGGAAACUGGGGCUAAUACCGGAUAGGAGCUCCUGCUGCAUGGUGGGGGUUGGAAAGUUUCGGCGGUUGGGGAUGGACUCGCGGCUUAUCAGCUUGUUGGUGGGGUAGUGGCUUACCAAGGCUUUGACGGGUAGCCGGCCUGAGAGGGUGACCGGCCACAUUGGGACUGAGAUACGGCCCAGACUCCUACGGGAGGCAGCGGUGGGGAAUAUUGCACAAUGGGCGGAAGCCUGAUGCAGUAACGCCGCGUGCGGGAUGACGGCCUUCGGGUUGUAAACCGCUUUCGCCUGUGACGAAGCGUGAGUGACGGUACUGGGUAAAGAAGCACCGGCUAACUACGUG
rnacentral:rRNA from 1 species